rnacentral:rRNA from 1 species
GACAAAGGAACGGCGGUCGUAGACGGCAGGAAGUUGAGCCGUGGCUCAACUCGUGGGGCCCCUUCCUGAUCCGUGGCUCAGGAUUCGUCGUACUGUCGUCUCCUACCUUACCCUGCUGGAUUCAAUGGGUGGGAGUUGUGGAGACACCGCCGCCGCCGCCCGAUUCAGGCGAAUCCAUUGCCGGCUAUGGAACUCCUUCUGCAGCUGAUUACUACUCCUAGAAGAUCCCCUUUGGUUGAGGAGGUGGAUGGAAGUCAUCUCUCCAUGGAUCUGCUGGAUAAAGGACGGCGACGUCUUUCAGGGCAGUGGAAGAGCCGCCGCCGGCAUCCUUUAGGGCAGACGUGCGGAACUGUCAGAAACAGGCAGGCGUGGAUGGACGACGGGAGAGCUCGGCCCAGUUGUCUGCAAAAUGGAUGCACCCUGGUGGUCAAAGAGUAUUUGAUGGAGAACAAUGAUUUCAUGGCCAUCGGAAUAAUUGGUCCACCUGGUUUGGCAUGUCAACCACCAUGAACGAGCUUUAUUGCAUUAUAUUCUUCCUUUGGAAUUAAUCUGUGUUCAUCUAAUUAAAAUACGGAUAAUUUGUUGAAGUAACAUAUGUGACCCAUCAUUUUAAACCUCAAUUAUCUUCACCAAACAAGGAAAAUAAAAUUGAUAACCUAUGAGGCAAUGAAGACAGCAUGGCCAAUCUCUGCUCUGUUUUCUGCACACAGGAAAAGUGACAAUGAACACUGGCCAAACAUAUGACCAAGAGUCCACAGGACCUAGAUCAUCGACUCUGCCCAGGCCGCUCCAGCAGUAGUGAGGAUCCCUUACAGUAUGAUAAUUGAUAUGCUAACAGAACUAGGAUUACCAAAGGUUUAAUAUCGUUAGAAAAUAUAUGACGGCAGCAAGGCCUGUGUCACUGUCUUUUGUAGCACUCCUAUGCUACUCCAUGAUAGUGAAUCUACCCGUGCAUCCAUAUCUACAGUCCUUUCCAUAGAUGAUGAUGCAGCAGAGGACACAGUUGCUAUUGAAGCUAAAGGUGCUUGGAAAACGCAACCAACACAGAGAUCGGACUACAAUGAAAAUCACAUGAAGCGCCUCCAAACCUGAAUGAGCAGCUCAUGCACCUGCUCAACAUAGUGAAUGGGAGCAAAGAAAAGCUUGCCAGGGGUUGAUUCCUUGCCGUGAGGCACAUGAGGUCCUUCUGUGAACAAAUACAAAACUUGACAUCUCUUAUGCCCAAGACGCCAUAAGAUGAGGGGAGGCUGCUGAUGGGGGCUAACCUGGCUAUCGAGGGACAUGCUAGCAAGAUAUGCACAAGGGCAAUGUUUGGGCAUAUAUUUUAUGAGUGUGGCGCAUACCAGGUUUUAUAUGAGAAGAAGAACAGAUCAUAUCUUGCAAUACAUACGGAGGUCGAGCGCAAGGAGAAGUGGUGCAGAGUAUCAUACAAGGUCACAAUGAUGGAGGGUGGGGAUGACUUUGACUGUGAGUGUGGGCAGUUCGCCCACAUGGGUAUACUACACACCCAUGUUCUUGAGGUAUUGUUUUCCUUAAAUUAGUAUAGUUUACAGUACUAGCAAUGCAAAUGUGGAGGGUUGGUACCAAAAAAUGAACAAUGUUGUUUUCAGAAAAUGCGGGUACUAGACUUUAUCCAUGUGAAGCAGAUCCCCGAGACACACAUACUAGCAUAGCACUAGUGAAAAUCUAAAUAGUACCUACAACCUCGGAAGCUUGCUAGGUGCAAGAAUUGUGGGGUUAAGGGCCACAGGAGAAACAACUGCACAAAACCAAUGGAUCUGAGAUUAGGGGGUGUCUGAUGCUGGUGUGAAGUGCAUGGCUGCAGCAGCAGCAUCAGUUCUGACUGAUGAAAACCAAGGAGAGCAAGGGUGUAAUCUAAAGAUAUGUUGAUGUGUUUUGGGCAUUUUCUAUUUAUGUUGUACUCAUGUACUGUGUGGUACCGUCCGGCAGUGAGGCUGACUAUGGAUGUAUCUAUGCAGUGCAUUUCCAGGAUCAGGUGUUUCGAUGUAGAAUUAUUGUUAUUUUCACGUGAUUCAUGGCCCCACCUGGUGUGUGUGAUGCCGGUGACUAGAGUGGCAUGCCUGAGACUGAAUUGCAGUGCUUCUAUGUGUUAUCUGAUACUGAAUUCUGAUGCAUGUUCAGGCAGACUUGUGGCGCUUGUUUGUGUCGCGUGAAACUGAAUUGUGCCACCUGAAGUUGUAUAGAGAAUAUCUAAAAUAAGUGGAAUCAGGGGUGAUGUGAUCAUUCGGCGUUGGGUAGCACCAAUUCGUGUUUUUUUAGGCGAUGAAUUCGGUCAAUGUGUGCUGUGCAUUGUUGAUGCUUUUAGGGUAGGGUUGCGCUAACUGCCACACGUGUGGCAGGAAG